GACCUAAACUUCACCCUUGUCUAAGCAAACCAGAGGUGUCUCUCUAUAACCAUUUUAUUUUAACUCAAUUUUCUUGCCAUGAUCAGCCACCACUCUUGUUCUCCAAAUGGGGUGGCUGCUUUCCCUCUUCUGUCCGUUGAAGAAGCUAUGGACUCGUCUCCGUUCUGCUCACAAGAAGAGUAAAGGGAUACACAUUCUGUACGAGGAUGUCAAGUCCUGCCCUUACGAAGACGUGCAUGUUCUCUGGUCCAUUCUUGUGGAGUCGCAUACACCUGCUUUGCCACCAAUUGUUACUCAAGUACAGAAUCCUAGGAGCACGGGGUUCUGCCAAUCAGUCGUGUAAUCAAGUAAUGUAAAUACCUAAGGGGUUUCCAGUUUUCAUAUAUUUCUAUGGUUCCUACUACUAAGGUGCUGCUAUAUUUUGAAUCUCUCCGACUUAAGAAAGUUUAGUCAGAGAUCAUAUAUGUUGUGUGUUCAAAUUUGACAUACAUGUGCGCGCCUCAUGUACUGUGCAUCAUAAAGGGAGAAAUAUUUGAUGAAUAACAAAAGCCCCAGUAUCGCGAUCUUUCUUGCU